UAGCCACCAUGUUGUGAGGAAGCCCGAAGAGACAGAGCCCAGAGAGAGGCCCUCAGCUCACAGUCCUGGCUGAGCCUCUGGUAGACAGCCACCUGAAGUUGUGAGCUCCUCAAGGCCACGCGUCCUCUCGCUGAGCAUCUAUGUCUGUGUUGACCAAGCGCGUGAGCUGCACUAGUGCUCAGCUGAAGACUGCUGAAGGAAUGACUGACACGUUAACCACCUCCAUCCCUUCCAUCGAUCCCAGUAUCCUUCUUCCAGGAAAAUGACGGCUGAUGAUGGUGAUUGGACUGAUACUUAAAUCUGGUCUACUCUUUUGGGAUAGAAUCCUCAGAGGGAGUAGGGUGUUCUCCUCACUCCCUUUUAACCUAAAUACUAUCAAAUACCUCAAAAGAAAUUUCAGGCAUUGCCAAAGACAGUGGUGUCAUCCUCAGGGGGCUCUGGACCUGUGCAACCGGUAAGAGAUGAAGGUGUUUGUACCUGAACACACAUCUCAAAUAUGUAUAAAAUCGAACAAGCCUGA